rnacentral:rRNA from 1 species
AAUGAAAGUAUCAAUGUGUUUUAUCCUUGACCGAGAGGUAUGGGUAAACAUUGAACCACUUUCUUGGUUGGGAUUGUGGACUGUAACUGUCCACAUGAAC